AAAAGAAAUUGUGGGGGGUCAAUUUUUUCUCAUUUCAGAUUUCAGAAAUUAAAAAGAAUUAUUCUUCAAAUAUUAUUUUUUUUUCAAAUUUCAAAUAUUGAAAAAUUUCAAGAAGUAAUCUUUAAUUGCACAGUAUGGCGCAUUAGAUUUGUAAAAUCUUUGACCACAUUUAUUUAUUUGUUAUGCCGAAUCUAACGGUGUAUUUAGAUUUUUAAUUUUGGGUCCAGUUUUCAAAUUGGUCUACAUUAAGGUCCAAAGGGUCCAAAAUUAAACUUUUGUUUGAUUUUAACAAAAAUUGAAUAUUUGGGGUUCUUUGAUAUGUUGAAUCUAUACAUGUAUUUAGAUUUUUGAUUUUUGGCCCAGUUUUCAAGUUGGUCCAAAUCGGGGUCCAAAAUUAAACUUUGUUUGAUUUCAACAAAAAUUGAAUAUAUGGGGUUCUUUGAUAUGCUGAAUCUAACCAUGUAUUUAGAUUUUUAUUUGUGGACCCCGCUAUCAAAUUGGUUCAUAUUGAGGUCAAAGUUGGGGUCCAAAAUUAAACUUUGUUUGAUUUCAUCAAAAAUUUAAUUAUUGGGGUUCUUUGAUAUGCUGAAUCUAAACAUGUGUUUAGAUUUUUGAUUUUGGGCCCAGUUUUCAAGUUGGUCCAAAUUGGGGUCCAAAAUUAAACUUUGUUUGAUUUCAACAAAAAUUGAAUAUAUGGGGUUCUUUGAUAUGCUGAAUCUAAACAUGUAUUAAGAUUUUAGAUUUUUGGCCCAGUUUUCAAGUUGGUCCAAAUUGGGGUCCAAAAUUAAACUUUGUUUGAUUUCAACAAAAAUUGAAUAUAUGGGGUUCUUUGAUAUGCUGAAUCUUACCAUGUAUUUAGAUUUUUUAUUUGUGGGCCCGCUAUCAAAUUGGUUCAUAUUGAGGUCAAAAGGGUCCAAAAUUAAACUUUGUUUGAUUUCAUCAAAAAUUGAAUUCUUGGGGUUCUUUGAUAUGCCAAAUCUAACCGUGUUUUUAGAUUUUUAAUUUUGGGUCCCGUUUUUAUACGACCGCAAAAAAAUUUUGUGGUCGUAUAUUGGUAUGACGUUGGCGUUGUCGUCGUCCGGCGUCAUCGUCCGAAGACACAUUGGUUUUCGCACUCUAACUUUAGUUUAAGUGAAUGGAUCUUUUUGAAAUUUGACCAUAAGGUUAAAUACCACAAAAGGAAGGUUGGGAUUGAUUUUGGAGGUUAUGGUACCAACAGUUAAGGAAUUAGGGGCCAAAAAGGGGCCAAAAAUAAGCAUGUUUGUAACUUCCAGACAUAACUUGUGUGUUAGUGUAUGGAUCUCUUUGACAUUGUACCACAAGGUUCCAUAUCACACAGGGAAUGCUGGGAUUGAUUUUGGGGGGUAAUUGCCUCAAAAUAUUAGGAAUUAGGGGCCAAAAAAGGGGCAAAAAACAAGCAUUUUUCUAGUUUCAUGACAAUAACUUGUGUGUAAGUGUAUGGAUCUUUCUGAAAUUGUACUACAAGGUUCCAUUUCACAAAGGGAAAGCUGGAAUUGAGUUUGGGGGUAAUUGCCCAAAACGUUUAGGAAUAAGGGGCCAAAAAGGGGCCAAAAAUAAGCAUUUUUCUAGUUUCCAGACAAUAACUUGUGUUCAAGUGUAUGGAUCUCUUUGAAAUUGUACCACAAGGUUCCAUAUCACACAGGGAAUGCUGGGAUUGAUUUUGGGGGUAAUUGCCUCAAAAUAUAAGGAAUUAGGGGCCAAAAAAGGGGAAAAAAACAAGCAUUUUUCUAGUUUCAUGAUAAUAACUUGUGUGUAAGUGUAUGGAUCUUUCUGAAAUUGUACUACAAGGUUCCAUAUCACAAAGGGAAGGCUGUAAUUGAUUUUGGGGGUAAUUGCCUCAAAAUUUUAGGAAUUAGGGGCCAAAAAAGGGGCAAAAAACAAGCAUUUUUCUAGUUUCAUGACAAUAACUUGUGUGUAAGUGUUUGGAUAUUUCUGAAAUUGUACUACAAGGUUCCAUAUCACAAAGGGAAAGCUGGAAUUGAGUUUGGGGGUAAUUGCCCGAAACGUUUAGGAAUUGGGGGCCAAAAAGGGGCCAAAAAUAAGCAUUUUUCUAGUUUCCAGACAAUAACUUGUGUUCAAGUGUAUGGAUCUCUCUGAAAUUGUACUGCAAGGUACCAUACCACAAAGGGAAGGCUGGGAUUGAGUUUGGGGGUGAUGAAUCAUAAGGGGGUACAAAAAAUUUGGGGGGGGGGGGAUUUUUUUUUUUUUCUUUUUUUCCUUUUUUUUUUCUUUUAAAAUUUUCCAUUUUAAGUUGGUUAUUUCUGAUUUAUAUUUAAAAGCAAAUAAUAAUGAUAUGGUAGGAGAUAUACACCAAACAGGAUGUGUAAAUUAUUAUAUAAUAAGUAUUGUGCAAUAGCAAGAAAUUUUCAAUUGCACAGUAUUGCACAAUAGCAAGAAAUCUUCAAUUGCGCAGUAUUGCGCAAUAGCAAGAAAUCUUCAAUUGCACAGUAUUGCGCAAUAGCAAGAAAUAUCCAAUAGCACAAUAUUGCCCAAUAGCAAGAAAUUGUCAAUUGUACAGUAUUGCGCAAUAGCAAGAAAUUGUCAAUUGUACAGUAUUGCGCAAUAGCAAGAAAUAUUCAAUUGCACAGUAUUGUGCAAAAGAAGAUACUUCGUAUAAAUUGCUUAUUUCUUGAUCAAUUUCAAUGGGGUUUUAUUCUUGAAUUCUUGGGGUUCUUUAAUAUGCUGAAUCUAACCGUGUAUUAAGUUUUUGGAUUUUGGGCCUCGUUUUUAAAUUGGUCCACAUUGAGGUCCAAAGGGUCCAAAAUUUAACUUUGUUUGAUUUCAUCAAAAAUUGAAUUAUUGGGGUUCUUUGAUAUGCCGAAUCUAACCGUGUAUAUAGAUUUUUAAUUUUGGGUCCCGUUUUUUAAAUUGGUCUACAUUAAGGUCCAAAGGGUCCAAAAUUAAACUUAGUUUGAUUUUAACAAAAAAUGAAUUCUUGGGGUUCUUUGAUAUGCUGAAUCUAAACAUGUGUUUAGAUUUUUGAUUAUGAGCCCAGUUUUCAAGUUGGUCCAAGUUGGGGUCCAAAAUUAAACUUUGUUUGAUUUCAACAAAAAAUGAAUAUAUGGGGUUCUUUGAUAUGCUGAAUCUUAACAUGUAUUUAGAUUUUAGAUUUUUGGCCCAGUUUUCAAGUUGGUCCAAAUUGGGGUCCAAAAUUAAACUUUGUUUGAUUUCAACAAAAAUUGAAUAUAUGGGGUUCUUUGAUAUGCUGAAUCUUACCAUGUAUUUAGAUUUUUUAUUUGUGGGCCCGCUAUCAAAUUGGUUCAUAUUGAGGUCAAAAGGGUCCAAAAUUAAACUUUGUUUGAUUUCAUCAAAAAUUGAAUUAUUGGGGUUCUUUGAUAUGCCAAAUCUAACCGUGUAUUUAGAUUUUUAAUUUUGGGUCCUGUUUUUUAAAUUGGUCUACAUUAAGGUCCAAAGGGUCCAAAAUUAAACUUAGUUUGAUUUUAACAAAAAUUGAAUUUUUGGGGUUCUUUGAUAUGCUGAAUCUAAACAUGUGUUUAGAUUUUUGAUUAUGGGACCAGUUUUCAAGUUUGUCCAAGUUGGGGUCCAAAAUUAAACUUUGUUUGAUUUCAACAAAAAUUGAAUAUAUGGGGUUCUUUGAUAUGCUGAAUCUAAACAUGUUUUUAGAUUUUUGGCCCAGUUUUCAAGUUGGUCCAAAUUGGGGUCCAAAAUUAAACUUUGUUUGAUUUCAACAAAAAUUGAAUAUAUGGGGUUCUUUGAUAUGCUGAAUCUUACCAUGUAUUUAGAUUUUUUAUUUGUGGGCCCGCUAUCAAAUUGGUUCAUAUUGAGGUCAAAAGGGUCCAAAAUUAAACUUUGUUUGAUUUCAUCAAAAAUUGAAUAAUUGGGGUUCUAUGAUAUGCCAAAUCUAACCGUGUUUUAAGAUUUUUAAUUUUGGGUCCCGUUUUUUAAAUUUGUCUACAUUAAGGUCCAAAGGGUCCAAAAUUAAACUUAGUUUGAUUUUAACAAAAAUUGAAUUCUUUGGGUACUUUGAUAUGCUGAAUCUAAACAUGUGUUUAGAUUUUUGAUUAUGGGACCAGUUUUCAAGUUUGUCCAAGUUGGGGUCCAAAAUUAAACUUUGUUUGAUUUCAACAAAAAUUGAAUAUAUGGGGUUCUUUGAUAUGCUGAAUCUAACCAUGUAUUUUGAUUUUGGACAUUGGACCAUAAUAGGUAAAUUAAAAAAAUUGAAGUUCUUAGACCACAUUCUUUCUGUGUCAGAAACCUAUGCUGUGUCAAAUAUUUAAUCACAAUCCAAAUUCAGAGCUGUAUCAAGCUUGAAUGUUGUGUCCAUACUUGCCCCAACUGUUCAGGGUUCGACCUCUGCGGUCGUAUCAAGCUGCGCCCAGCGAAGCAUUUUAUUUAUAAACAGUGA